GCCUAGAUAGCUCAGUUGGGAGAGCGUUAGACUGAAGAUCUAAAGGUCCCCGGUUCGAUCCCGGGUCUGGGCA